GGCUGAUCUCUGGCCUGAUUGGUAGAUGUGGUCCUCUCAAAGACAGUUUCCUCCCAUAGGAGGGAAGGAUGUCAGGGAAGUCUGCUGAUCACGGAAGUAGAGAGAGAGUGAGUUUCUUGGUGGUGUGCUGGGAGAUACCGUGUAUAGUGUCACAUUCUUUUUCCACUGCUGUGAAGUGAAGUUCCAUGGAAACAGAUCAUGGAUCACCAUAAGAUGAGGUAACAUGGGGUCAGGAUAUGUACCAUCUAGGAAUCGUUCUUGUGGAAAGGGCAAGACAAGAUGCUCUUCUAAGACAACGCGACUAAUACCACCUGGGAUUUCGGGGAGCUCCUGCAGGGGCCCAUCGUGGCUGCCGUCUGCCCAUUCUGAUGGACUCUGUGAGGAUCCAUAUCAGGCUGUGCUGGAGAAGAAAGCCUCCAGCAACUGCCAUGGCACUGGCAAGGCAGGGGCUGUGCUCUCAAUGUGCCUUCUCCAGAUGCUGGGCAUAUGGUCUUGUCCUGAGAGCUCCAAGAUAAUUUGGCUUAGCUCGCUCAGUGAAGGAUGCAGCUGGAGCAGAGAGUGUGGAGAGAGACUUACUGCACUUCCAGAUAACAGCCUUGCUGAGCUUGAUUGAUGGAUGCUGUUUAAUCUGCCAGACAGGCUGAAACUUAAGAAAUGGAGCAGAAACACGCAGCUUGGGCAAACCAUUUGUGUAUAGCAAGGACAUGCACAGUGUCAUUUUAGGCAGCGUUUGUGCUAGGAAGCCACUGUGCACAGACUUCCUCACCAGCACAGCUGGGCACAGAAGAGCUUUGGUCUGUGUGGCAGAGCAUUGUACGUGCUUUGGCCACCUUUGUCUAAGGAUGAGAUUUCUUUCCUCUUCCAAGCCUUUCCCUUUGCAAUUAUAUUACUGCAGCACAAGGCCAUGUACCUAGUCAUAAAAGCAAAUGUUUUUCAGUCGUGCCCCUGAAGUCUUCAGCAAGACCUUCUCAGAAGAUACGCAGAGGAUGGUUGAGUACAAGAGAAGUGUCCAAUAUUAAUUGCUGAGAUGAACUCAGAAGAUGUGGGCUCUGCUCCCUCAGGCUCUUGCUGACUGGUUGCAUGGUGCUGAGCACCUUCCUGGUCAAACCAGUGCCCUCCACACCUGCCUUGGACAUGCACUGCACGCAGUGUUCUCAGUGGAAAUGAUUGUAACAGAAAUAAUCUCUUCCAGGUAGGGUGAUUUACCCCAUGUAAUAAACUGGCUGCAGCUGGAGCACCUUAUUGCUAUUAAAAUCUUCAUCUUCACUUGGCUGUAGCUGUAGAGGCAAACUACACUAUGAUGUAAACAAGACUGGAGCUUGUACAACCUUUAAGACCAAGUGUAGCUAUUCCACUGCAGCUUGCCACUGCAUUGAGCCUGACAGCCUGAUCUGAAAGAACAGUUUUGGGACUUAGCAUAUAAAGAAAAAAAUUGUAGAGGACACAGUUCAAAUGACAACAACAACAACCAAACCUGAAGAAUUCAACACAUUUUUUUUUUACUGAAAGGAGUAUGGAGUUGGUAUAAGACUACUGCAUGUGUGAUAUACUCACCAAGUGUAUUCCAAUUUAACAGAGAGCAGUUAGAUUUGUUUUUCCUCUUAGAGGUGUUAAUAGACUCAAAUGUGGAAGAGGAGACAAACACAAGUUUGGCAAGUUCAGGUGAUGGUAAAUGAAGCAGGUUACGCUAAAGACAACCUCUUCUGUGCUGUUCAACUUUUCUUACACAGCACAGAGUGCACCUGGGUAUUGAGUACAAAACAAUGUAAACGAGCCCUUGCAAACUGUCUGUGCACAAGCUGGGAUAAAUCUCUUACAAGCAGAGGAAAAUACACCAAUGAUUUUGCCUCUGGAUAGAGAUUGCUAGCAGUUUUUGAGAUUUCCCCAGAUUCAGUCCCUGGUGAGAACACAGGUAUGAACAGUGUGUAUAAACAAAAUUUAAAGGUUUCCAUUAAAAGAAGAAACAUAGACUUGACAAAUACCCUAACACACGUGCCAAGGCAUAUAAAAUGCAUCUGAUGCAACAAAUGUUUCAUACCUUCUUCCUAUUUUCUAGAGUCAAUUUAUUUUCAAAUCCUUGCUUUAUACAUGCAGUGGAUGAAUUAAUGACUCUUGCUAUUUGAUGUAAAUUCUUGCCAUAGUUCGCUUCACAAUGGAUUUCCCCUCCUCUAGAGCAGUUGGUUCUGACUGAUGAUCUGUCUAGCUUCGGAGCAGAAAAUCCACAUGCUGAGGAAGCGGAGAUGGAGGAGCAGUCUUUGGAUUUUAGGAAUGGCCCUUUUGGGUCUGGAUCAAAGGCUUCCAGCCAAACAGCAUCAGGAAGCUUUGGCUGCUGCUGCUUCUGCAAUAGUUGUUUCCUGUGAUAGGGAGCAAGGCAUACACAAAGCAUCUGGUGCAUCCCAUCUGUGUGGGAGGGGAAGAAAGUUGCCCCAUGGCUGUCAGGCCAGUAUGCUUUGGCAUACAUGGAGGUGUAAAAAACUUGCUCUUGAAACUUCAGUAUUUUGGGUCUUGCUUAAUCUCUGUGUUCCAAAUUCAGCAGUAUCCUCAGUGAUUGCACUAUGAGUACUGGUAAAUAAAAAUUCUGUAACAGGGGAAACAUGAAAUUUCCAAUCAUUUUGCCAUUUUACAAAAGGGCAAUAAAAUGCUAGUAUCCCAUCUGAAAAAUAUUUAUUGAAUGUAAUGAGGAAGAAACCAGUGGGGAAAUUAAGUAGGGGUCUAUGGAAAUUAUCCUAUAUUCUGAGACAGGGUAAUACAAACUUCUUUACUGAACUUUCAAACCAUCCUGCAGAGUUUAACAGAGAACAGUUUUCUUUAGGUUAUGUUCUGACUUCUGUACUGUGUUCUCCAUUUAGUGGAGAACAUCAUUGUUCUCCAUUUAGUGUUUCUAUUUUUUUUGUUUUUGUUUACAAAGAGAUUGUCUAUAACAGCAUCAAAGCAAGCAGAUCAAGAAAAUAUGAUAUCAAGUGGCCUCUCUUCUCUUUUAAUUGUACUGCAAAAAUCUCCAGGUUCCUGGAACCAUGCUUAGCUCAUGUGGAAGCAGGUAUAAACAGUGAGUUCAAUGGAAACUAUAUGCAUUAUAGUACAAGUCGGUCAUCUUGCUUAUCAAAAAUAACUUUUGAAAUGUCUUAAUAUUGAAGCUUAUAUGGGACUAGGAUGUUUUGACUUUCUCAGUUUUACAUCACUUCUGAAGCAAUCAGUGGCAUCAGGUGACCACUGCUUGAUUCAGGACAGGAAUGCAAACCUGGUCUCCAAUAUCAAAAAAAAGUGUCUCAACGACUAUAAUAACAUGUAUGUUUACAGUUACGAUAAACCCCCUGAUAAGAUAUCUGGGAUCAGAUUAGAAAUACUUCAGCAACAUGAGAAAAAUAUCUCAAUUAUAAUGGGUCUAGUUUGUCUUGAGAAUAUUCUGGGGGUAACUUGAUCCUUAUGAUAGGUAUCUAGAGGCAUCUGAAUGAGGAGCUACGAGAUAUGGUUUAGUAGCUUGUGGUAGCAAUGGUAAUGGGAGGAUGGUUGGACUAGAUGACCUUGUAGGUCCUUUCCAACCUUGUGAUUCUAUGAUUUAAGGCUUGCCAACAGAGUUUGUGUUGGUCUCUGCCUGGAAUUACAUUCUCUCAAAGGAAAAUGCCGUAUUUGUUGGGCCACGCUAUCAGGGACCUUCUUGGUGAUCUUGAUGUGAAGCAGCUCAAACUUCACCACCACCACUGACAACAAUGUUGCCAUUCAGGCCAAAUCAAUGGCAUUAUGAUGGUUCUAUCCAAAACCGUUCUUUGAGAACAACAGAAAAACUAUUUUUUCUGGGUGUGGUCCACAGCAGCAUUGAUGGGAAACAAUCACUUUUUGAUGAAGAACACCUUAAAAGGUGCAAUGAUUGACAAAUCUAGCAAGUUGUCCUCCCCAAGACAGCGCAGUAUGGACCAAGCAGGAGUCUGGAGUACAACAAAGUUAAAGCACAAAUCCUGCAGGUGACCAGUAAGAAUGCCGAAAGUGAUAAAGGACCGUUUGAGGCAACAGCAAUGCCAGAAACUGGAUAUGUCUAAAAAUAAAAACAUUGUGCUGUUAUAAACAGGGUGUUUUACAGGACAGAAACGGCAUAUGCCCUUCAUCUAAAGACUGCUAUUUAUUUAUUUAUUUACCUUCAAGAGCUGCAACAGGCUUUGAGCAACAGAGGAGCAAGCGUCUGUUCAAGGAGGUUGAAAAGAAACCUUUGGAACAGAAAGAGCCUGGCUCCCGCAUGUUUCUUUGCCACCCUUUACAUGUGGAAAGGUCAGGAUCACAAGUCUCUGCAAGCUGACCCUGCGUAUUUCAGCUGCAAUCUUAUUUGGGAUUGUGAGGCUCUAUUGCUGGUUCCUAGGAGCACUGGCAAGUGAACAAGGUGUGCUUCUCACCGCACAGUCAUUUGUCACAACCCCAACAUGCUGUGGUUUGCAGGUGUAUGGUUUUGAGGAUGAAAUGGACUAGCAGUGCCUUCUACUACAGAGCCCAUGUUCCGUCUCUUGACACAGCAGUUCUUCGUGCUGCUUUUUUGGCUUGUGGUCCAUCCUAGUUCCCUUUACUCUAGGAAGCUUAUGUCCUCCUGUCUAUACUACUUCUAACUAUGCUAUGGGAAGCUCAAGAUAGCAAACACAGGCACUAUCAUUAAUUCCAAUCACUGUUUAUUAAAUUGAAAAAAAACCAAAAAAACAAAAGCAUGCAGAAAUGCAUACCAAAACAGACCUUCAUCUCAAUCCUCUACAACCUGUUGGAGGGGUUUUCAUCAAUCAAACACUGCAUCUCUGGCAAGACAUCAAGAGUGAUAAGUUUGAACUCCUGCUCAGCAAAGUGAAUCCACAUUCUUUACUUGCUAUGUUUCCUGAGAGAGCAGGCUUCCUGGAUGUUACACAGAAUCACUGACGUUGUGGCAUCGGACUCUACCUUUGCCCAUACCUUCAGCCUGCAUUAUCCAUAGUAAUGUCAAGGGGACUUUUACUAGCUUAGGUAAAUAAAUUCUUUCUCUUGACUUAGUUUGAUGUGGAUCAGUCUCUCUGUCCAGUACAAUGGUCAACAAUGCAGCCAGCCCCUGCUUGUCCUGCCUAACUGGACAGAGACACAAGUCUAUGGAAACUAUAUUUUCCAUUUUUAUUUCCAUCUUAUUUGGGGUCAUUCUCCCCCAUGCAACACUGAUAGGUGCUUGGGUGGCUGUGCAUCUUGCUAGGCAAACUACAGAUCCCCAUGGAUGUUUUACCAGUACCAGCUUUAAGAGGAGUAAGAGAUCAUCCUUGAUAAUGUCCUCCCUCACCAAGAAAGAACAACGUGAAGCUGAUCAUAGGUGCAUAUGUCUGUGUAAUGGCUUUAAAGAAAUGGGUAAAUCCCAUGAAAGUGAUGUUUACUACUGCUUCAUCCUACAUUAGCAGGUAGUAUAGGCUGAGCAUGGCUAUACAUGGCAUAAUCUCAGUGGUGGCUAUUGCCAGCAUCCCAGUAGCACAACCAGCCCUGAUUGCUCCUGCACAUCCCCUUGGGGCUCCCACAGAAAAAUAAUAAUAAUAAUAAUACAGGAGCUUAUCACAGUGCAGAGAUGGGAGUGGAGGAGAACAGAAGCAUGCAAGCAGCAGUAUUAUCCAGAGGGAUGCGCACCUCCCCAUGGGAAGCCCAAGGGCAGCUGAGCUGUGCACCUAGCCUAGCUGUGCAAAGGCUCACCAUCACUUCCCUGCCACGUGGCUGGCAAUGAGUGGUCCCAAGUGGUUUAUACUUAGAGAAUCCCCUCUUUGCAUUGGGAUGGUCUUGUUUUCAGUCCCAAAAUGCCCUGCAAAAUGAAUGAAUUGUUGUUUUCUAGCCAGCCUGAGUAGGAAACAUGGCUCACACAGUUGCUGGGAACUGGAAGAAACAUCCUGGUCUGCAGAGCAUAAAUUAGGAAAAUGCAUUCUUAUUCUCGUGGAUAUUCCUUGAGAAAAAGCCAACAGUGGGAGUGUGUUAGAGUGGUAAAAUGCAAUUCAUGACAACAGUCCCACUGAGAGGAGGAUUUUUUUUUUCCUUUAGUUGCUUCUAAUUGUGGUAAGGAGCAAACGCAUUCCUCUUUAAUUUCCAUUGGCAAGGUCUCCGGGACUGUGCGAGUGCCAAGAAGUGUGCUGUGGCUGGCUUUGCAUUUCCUCCUCUCUUCUUCCCCUCCUCCACCCCUCCCUCAUCUUAUGGGUAUUACAGCCAAUCCCUCUGCAAAUACCUUUUUCGCAGGCAAUGUAAGCACUCUCCCUCUUGUUUUUCUCCCUUCGAAACUCUGCUCUAUCUCUUUUGGCCAGCUGCAGCCUUCCUAGAGCAUCUUCUACCUGACAAAAGAAGAUACCUUUGAUAGUCAGACAUGAUGGUAAAGUUGAAACACAUGCUUGGUUCAGAUACCAAUGAACUUUAAUUUACCUCAAUUCAUUAGCAAUUUUUAAAACCACAGUUAAUGGAAGGCAGCCUGUAAAAUAAUUGGAAGUAAAUGAUGAAGGAGAAACUCUGGGGGGAGGAAGGAAGGGAAGCGGCUUACAGCAGGAGUCUAAGCCAGGCUUUCAUCUUCAGGGCAGUCCGGUUUUGAACCCUGAUGGGAAAGGUCAUGAAUUUUAAAAUGUGUCUCGCAGCAGACAGCUCUAAUCAUAAAGCUAACACUAUCUGCAGUGCAUGUCUGACCAUGUGAGACUCGCGGCUGACUGAAGGAGGCUGACUUUCAAGGGGAGGAUGCUGCUUUGAGCAGGAAGGUGUGGGAUAAGCAGAACCGAUGCCGUAUCUGUCAGUGCCAGAAUGAAGCACUGGGCUGCUGGGUCAGGGGAAAACAUGCCACUCUCAGCAGGGCUCGCAGCAGCAGCAGGACCACAUAGCACCUUGUGCUCUUCUCUGGGCUCCUUGAGAACCCAGCGUUUCCCCUUCUUGCAUGUCACUUAGGAAGUGUAACAUCUUACUGCUUUAGCUUGCCAUUCGCAUCUUCAGUUUUAAUACAGUUUCCAGCCUAUUGCAUGCAAAAGCUGGAAUGCUCUCUACUGCUAUCCUGGGAAUCGUUGCUCUGCCAUUUGCCAGGCUGUGUUUGAAAUCAAGGGAUGCUAAUGUUUUGGCAACACCUUACAGUGCCUCUGACAAAAGAGUUGUGGUUGGUGGCUAUCUCAGUCUUAAUUGUUUUCUUAAUUGGAUGCUGCUGAGGCUCAGACAGUUAUUUGUAGGAUGUGAGAAAACACUUGAUUCUCUCUCUGACUUCAUCUGCAUUUUCCAAAAUCCUUCCACUGUUCAUCUACCACAUCUUGGGCUCUGCUCUUCCUAGCAUGUAUGGAAGCGUAGUCCAGUGGUGUUAAUCACCACGUGGUGUCUAGACAUGCUGAAAACACUUAGGCAACUGUGACAUCUGUUUGGGCAGCCAAUAUUGUUGGGAAACUUGACCCUAUUUAUGAACAGUUUUUAAAACCAAGUUUCGGUCAUGACAAGAUAAUAAAUGCAAAGUGUCUUUACAUACUGUGAUCAGAGCUUCAUGGUCAACGUGCUCUCACAGGAGGGGUGGUCUUGCUCUGAAAGGGUAACACUCGGGGCAUAUGUGUUCAAUUUUUAGGUCUGGCACAAACUUCAUGUCUGACCUUCGCAAAGGUGUGUGCUUUCUUUGUGUCUGGAAUAAAUGGUGGUGGUAAUACCUGGGAUCAGACUGAUUAUGGGACUCUUCAGAUUGCGCCAGCUAAUUUGAUUGUUACCAAAAUAAAGUCCCCGUGAUCUCACCAGAAUUCAAUGCCCCAUUUUCUAGAUCUAGCAGUCUGUGAACAAGAGCUGGAGCCAGGCUGGAAUGUCUUUUGGUUCUGCAGCAACAGAAAACUCCAAGUCAGGGAUUAUUUUUAGUGUGCAACUGCUAGGUUUUUCAGUGUAUGAUGCAGAGCAGAAUUUUCAAG
ensembl:lncRNA